rnacentral:rRNA from 1 species
AGGGUUUGAUCAUGGCUCAGGACGAACGCUGGCGGCGUGCCUAAUACAUGCAAGUGGAACGCAUGAUUGAUACCGGAGCUUGCUCCACCAUUAAUCAUGAGUCGCGAACGGGUGAGUAACGCGUAGGUAACCUACCUCAUAGCGGGGGAUAACUAUUGGAAACGAUAGCUAAUACCGCAUAACAGUAUUUAUCGCAUGGUAAAUGCUUGAAAGGAGCAACUGCUUCACUAUGAGAUGGACCUGCGUUGUAUUAGCUAGUUGGUGGGGUAACGGCUCACCAAGGCAUCGAUACAUAGCCGACCUGAGAGGGUGAUCGGCCACACUGGGACUGAGACACGGCCCAGACUCCUACGGGAGGCAGCAGUAGGGAAUCUUCGGCAAUGGGGGGAACCCUGACCGAGCAACGCCGCGUGAGUGAAGAAGGUUUUCGGAUCGUAAUGCUCUGUUGUAAGAGAAGAACGUGUGUGAGAGUGGAAAGUUCACACAGUGACGGUAACUUACCAGAAAGGGACGGCUAACUACGUGCCAGCCGCCGCGGUAAUAC